rnacentral:ncRNA from 1 species
GGUCGAGCAGAUGCGAAAGCAGGAGUUAGUGAUCCAGUGGUUCCGAAUGGAAGGGCCAUUGCUAAAUGGAUAAAAGGUACGCCGGGGAUAACAGGCUGAUCUCCUCUGAGAGUCCAUAUCGACGAGGAGGUUUGGCACCUCGAUGUCGGAUCAUCGCAUCCUGGGGCUGGAGAAGGUCCCAAGGGUCUGGCUGUUCGCCAGUUAAAGCGGUACGUGAUCUGGGUUCAGAACGUCGUGAGACAGUUCGGUCCUUAUCCAUCGUGGGCGCAGGGUAUUUGAGAGGGCUUGUUCCUAGUACGAGAGGACCGGAAUGAGUUAGCCUCUGGUGUUCCAGUUGUUCAACACGAGCAGGCUGGGUAGCUAUGCUAAUUAGAGAUAACCGCUGAAAGCAUCUAAGUGGGAAGCUCGCCUCAAGAUGAGAUACCCCUGUCUGAUUUCGAUCAGACGUAAGAUCCCUUGAAGACUACAAGGUUGAUAGGCUGGGUGUGUAAGCAGAGCAAUCUGUUCAGCUGACCAGUACUAAUGUAUCGAGAGUUUUGACCAC